CGCGGAGCCACAUAAUUUCGCCAAACGUCGCCAAUAACUCAAAAACAUACGCGAGCAACACUGGUAGAAAAAAAAACGAGUCGGCCAUUUACAUCGUGGAUUGACAAGAAGGCAGAAACCUACAAAAUACAAGAUGGCUAGAAAAAAAAGGCUGAAGAACAGAAAAAAAAAACAAAAAGAAAGACGAGGAAAAAAAAGAAGACAAUAAGACUAAGACUUUAGCUAUUAUAGUAUUUGCAUGGCAGGAGGCUAAGGACAUUGAAUUGUUGCAGGAAAUGAUAAUUUAAGCUUGCUGCUAGAAUCAACACCCACACAAAGAGGUGAAAUUGUAUUUAACUUUAAUUUCAAAUUUGCAAAAAAAUAUAUUAAAUUAUGUACAAGAAAUAUAAAAACACAUAUUCAGUUGAUUUUUUAGAUCUCAUAUUAUGUUUGAUUGCUUGAGUUGUUUUGUUAUUAUGAUUAAGAAGAUCAAUAGUGUUUGUUAUGUUCCAUUAAUUAGUAUAUUUCAUGUAAAUAUAAAAAAGUGUUAGUAGGUGUGUAAGAAUAUAGAAUAAAUGAGUUAUGUUAGGUAAUAAAUAAGAAUGCCAACAACUAAUUCUUGUCCUAGGUAACAUACCACUUAAAGUAGAAACAAACAAGGUUUUGUUUAAUGAUUAUUCUAAAUAAUAAAUACAUGCUUCGUAAUUUUA